rnacentral:lncRNA from 1 species
GCCCACCGCCUCAGCAACCAACCUCCAGGGAGGGGAAAGGGGGCAGAAGUUUGAGUUAAUAACUAAUAGCUAAAGAUGUAAACAAUAAGCCUCCAUAAAACCCCAAAAGGACUGGACUGGUUUCUGAGAGCUUCCAGGUUGUUGAGCACGUGGAGGUUCUGGGAGGGUCCACACCCAGAGAAGGCAUGGAAGCUGACCCCUUCCCCAUACCUUGCUCUUUGCAUCUCUUCCAUUUGGCUGUUCCCGAGUUGUAUACUUUGUAAUAAGUGGGAUUUCCACCCAACAACAAUUCAGCCACACUGCUUCACACAUCUAGAAUCCAUCCAAAAUUGUAAAGGCUUUGUGGCACUACAGUGAAACAGGCAAGAACAUCUUCCAAACAUCCAGCACAAGAGCACACAGGAGGCCGGCAUAAUCACGAAUUGCAGCUGUCUGAAGGGCAGUCACAUAAAAGAGGAGAAGCUUCACCUUUGCUUCACAAGGCACAUCUUGAACCAGGGAUGGAAAUUACAGAGAGGCCAAAACCAGCUCGGUGUGAGCAGGACUGGUAACAGACUGGCCAAGCAACAGAAGGGGCUGCCCUGUGAAGAAGCAAGCUCUCUGUCAAUGGGAGGUGCAAGCUGAGCCUGCACUACCUUUUGUCACGGUUGCUAUGGAAAAGAUUAAGAGCCCGGGCUGCUUGAGUGUCUGCAUGACAUGGCAGCUGGCUCCCUGAAGAGCACGUGAUCCGAAAGAGAGAGCAAGACAGAAGCGCAGUGUCUUCAACAGCAUAUCUUUGAAAGUCAUAUUCCACCGUUUUCACUACAUUCUAUUGAUAAGGCCUGGCUGUUCCCACCUCAAACCACUUCUUAGCUUCAUUUGUUCUCAUAACAACAGGAUAGCCCUUCCUCCUCUGGGGGCCUGGGCAUCAGCAAGUCGGAUGGCAGUGGAAGGUGGAGAAAUGGAAUCCUGCUGGGGGCUCAGGAGGCCUGCCCCCUGAUGCUGCCGUGCACUGCAGAUGUCCUUGAUGAAGAGAAUGAAUGGAAGCUGUCUUUCUCAAUGGCAAAAGGGCAUACUGCUGUUAUUGUCAGUGAGGGGUCAGUAGUUUAAAUGAUGAAACUCUGGGGAUCAGCGUAAAGUAAACCAACAUACUGCAUGUAAAUUCCUCAUUCUUACUGCUGUGAGAACAAUUGUUAGGAGCCAAAAACUUCAGAGCUUUCAAAGAACUGUAAUGAGAUAGCACAAUGCAGGCAAAAAGCCAGUGUUAACGGAGCAAGAAACUUCCCAGUUCUGACAUUCACAGCAUGACCUAGAGCAUGCGGAUUCCCCUCUCUGAGUCACUGGUUUCUCACCUGCAAAAGAAAGCGGGGACAGGGAAGGAGGAAGAAGCUUCGAGAGGCUGGAACAGUUGAGGGAGCGCUGACACGGUAAAGGCCACUUUGCUCAUCAUCACCAGGCGUGCUGCCGAAAAUUUCCACUCUGUUUACUCCCAAGACCUUACUCCUACUAUGUGGAGACACAUUUGAAUAAAAAA